rnacentral:rRNA from 1 species
CAAUAUGAAGGUCAGGCUGAAGACCUUACCCGAUUAGCUGAGAGGUGGUGCAUGGCCGUCGUCAGUUCGUACUGUGAAGCAUCCUGUUAAGUCAGGCAACGAGCGAGACCCACGUCCACAGUUGCCAGCAUACCCUCCGAGGUGAUGGGUACACUGUGGAGACCGCCGCUGCUAAAGCGGAGGAAGGAGUGGGCAACGGUAGGUCAGUAUGCCCCGAAUCUCCCGGGCUACACGCGGGCUACAAUGGUUGGUACAAUGGGCAUCUACCCCGAAAGGGGAAGGAAAUCUCUUAAAGCCAAUCGUAGUUCGGAUUGAGGGCUGCAACUCGCCCUCAUGAAGCUGGAAUCCGUAGUAAUCGCGUUUCAACAGAACGCGGUGAAUACGUCCCUGCUCCUU